rnacentral:piRNA from 1 species
UGCAAAGAGAUCUAACUCCACCUGUAUGUU